rnacentral:rRNA from 1 species
GACAAAAGAUAACCUGGAGAAAUUCAGGCUAAGAACGAGGAUAAGGCUUAGCACUAUUAGUUAGUCGGUAGUGUAAUGGACUACGGAGACGAUGAUGGUUGACGGGACACGAGAGUGUUAUACCGGAGAGGGAGCCUGAGAAACGGCUCCUACGUUUAUGGACGGCAGCAGGCGCGAAAAUUGUCCACUCUUUGCAGGAGACAGUUAUGAGAAGUAAGAUCGAUAGGCCCUUUAAACGAGGGUUCUAAAAUUGGAGGGCAAGUUUGGUGCCAGCAUCCGCGGUAAU